AUUGAACGCUGGCGGCAGGCCGAACACAUGCAAGUCGAACGAGUGGCGGACGGGUGAGUAAUGUCUGGGAAACUGCCUGAUGGAGGGGGAUAACUACUGGAAACGGUAGCUAAUACCGCAUACCAUCGGAUGUGCCCAGAUGGGCUGAGCAAGAAGGUGGGGUAAAGGCUAACCUAGGCGACGAUCCCUAGCUGGUCUGAGAGGAUGACCAGCCACACGGGAACUGAGACACGGUCCAGACUCCUACGUGAGGCAGCAGUGGGGAAUAUUGCACAAUGGGCGCAAGCCUGAUGCAGCCAUGCCGCGUGUAUGAAGAAUGCCUUCGGGUUGUAAAUUACUUUCAGCCGGGAGGCGUUACCCGCAGAAGAAUCACCGGCUAACUCCGUGCCAGCCGCCGCGGUAAUAC
rnacentral:rRNA from 1 species